rnacentral:rRNA from 1 species
UACGGAGGGUGCAAGCGUUAUCCGGAUUUACUGGGUUUAAAGGGUGCGUAGGUGGGCAGGUAAGUCAGUGGUGAAAUCUCCGGGCUUAACCCGGAAACUGCCAUUGAUACUAUCUGUCUUGAAUAUCCUGGAGGUGAGCGGAAUAUGGCAUGUAGCGGUGAAAUGCUUAGAUAUGACAUAGAACACCAAUUGCGAAGGCAGCUCACUACGGGAUUAUUGACACUGAGGCCCGAAAGCGUGGGGAUCAAACAGG